AACGAACGCUGGCGGCAUGCCUAACACAUGCAAGUCGAACGAGACCUUCGGGUCUAGUGGCGCACGGGUGCGUAACGCGUGGGAACCUGCCCUUAGGUUCGGAAUAACUCCCCGACAGGGGUGCUAAUACCGGAUAAUGUCUUCGGACCAAAGAUUUAUCGCCUUUGGAUGGGCCCGCGUUGGAUUAGCUAGUUGGUAGGGUAAAAGCCUACCAAGGCGACGAUCCAUAGCUGGUCUGAGAGGAUGAUCAGCCACACUGGGACUGAGACACGGCCCAGACUCCUACGGGAGGCAGCAGUGGGGAAUAUUGGACAAUGGGCGAAGGCCUGAUCCAGCAAUGCCGCGUGAGUGAUGAAGGCCUUAGGGUUGUAAAGCUCUUUUACCCGGGAUGAUAAUGACAGUACCGGGAGAAUAAGCUCCGGCUAACUCCGUG
rnacentral:rRNA from 1 species